rnacentral:lncRNA from 1 species
GUGACAGCCCUCAAAUCCGGGGGUCUGGAUUUGGUGCCACUAAAAAAAACAACAAUUUAAAACCUGUAUUUUCGAAAGAAAUUAAAACAAGUAUUUCAAAACCUGAAUAUAUAAAAAAAAAUGAUUUAAAUUAAAACUCAAUUUCACCCCCUUUAAAAUAGGAUCGCAAACAGGUUAUAGUAUUGAAAUCAGAAAACAAAACUACAGAUCUGAUUACAGCUUGAACUAGACUAUCAACUAAACCUCGAUAUGAAGGAUAACCAAUAUCCAAAUUAACAAAUAUAUUUUUACAACUAAACCAAAUUUAGACAACUCCAAUUACCACUAGUCCCAAAGACUCGAUCUUGGUUACUCUUCCUGACCAUCAGGUUGAAACUUAAUCACUUGCAAUCCUCGCCUAGCCUUACUCUUAUUCUUAGCCUAAAUAGGCGAACCAUCUUUAACAUUAUCUGAAAGGGGUUAGAAGAAAUAGCAAGAAUGAGCAAAAGAAUGCUCAGCAAGUAUAAUAGUUAAAAAGAAACAGGAGUUAAUGCAGAGAAGGUAAUUGAACUGGAAGUAUACAAAACAACAUGCUUUUAACUUGAAGCCAAAACAAUUCAAAAGUAUAUAUAAAUUUCCAAAGCAUUCAGAUAUAUUGGACGUUAAUAGUCACGUAGAUGAUCAGUCUACAGUAACUUGGACAAUGGUUACGCAUUGCCCUGAAAUAACAUGUUCCGGAACUGAAGACUAGCUAGGUCUCCAUAUAACGCUGGGCCAAGGGCCUCUUACGCAAACAAAACAAUAGGCUGGGCAUAGACCUCUUACGCAAAGCUGGGUAUCGGCCUCUUACGCAAACAAAACAAUAGUCCAAUGAUUAUAUCUGAAUUUUUCUUUUACUUCCCAGUUCUAAAGAAUUUGCAUUUUAAGAAAAGGUUUAUUCCAUCGGAAGUAUACUUACAACGGAUAAGCCUUACAACCAUAGGAACUAAACCGAGUUAUGAAAAUACAUUUAUAGAAAUUUUAGUAAACCAUGUGUAUCAAUUUGAUAAGUCACUCUUUCCAACUCAAAAUCGUACUUAAGUCAUGCAUUUGUAAUAAAUACAAGUUUUAAGGAAAGAGCACUUGCUUCUAAAUAUAGAGUUUGAAGAGGAAGACUUGCAAUAAUCACAAGUUGGAAAUAGNNNNNNNNNNNNNNNNNNNNNNNNNNNNNNNNNNNNNNNNNNNNNNNNNNNNNNNNNNNNNNNNNNNNNUCAAGUUGAGAAUAGAAUUACUCGCAAGAAAGCUUGAGAGAAAUUAAUCUAUCAAUAUCAUGAUUGAACAAAAUAUCUCACUUGAACAAUAAGUGAAGAGUUAUAGUACUUGCCUUUGGUCCUUAGCUUAUACACUCUUAGCUAACAUCCUUAUCUUAUUCUGCUUUCCCAAGACAUCACCCUCAACUAUUCCUGAUUUUCUGUUAUGGCGCUCAUGCGGUUGCUGCAGCUUGAUACGAAAUCUUAUCUAACUUCAGUCUUGAUCCCCAACGUCUGGUUCUACUCGUCUCGAACAAUCCGUAACUACAGAACCGCUAUACAACUCUCCCCUUUUCUUGCCUUUGCUUGGUAUCACGCCCUCAAUGCUCGAUCCUAUUAUAAGCAAAAAGAUACUACUUUAGUAUCCUUCCGAAACGACUAUCCUAUUUCUACCCUUUCGCGAUAUAUAUAUACACAACACAUUAUAUAGCACAUANNNNNNNNNNNNNNNNNNNNNNNNNNNNNNNNNNNNNNNNNNNNNNNNNNNNNNNNNNNNNNNNNNNNNNNNNNNNNNNNNNNNNNNNNNNNNNNNNNNNNNNNNNNNNNNNNNNNNNNNNNNNNNNNNNNNNNNNNNNNNNNNNNNNNNNNNNNNNNNNNNNNNNNNNNNNNNNNNNNNNNNNNNNNNNNNNNNNNNNNNNNNNNNNNNNNNNNNNNNNNNNNNNNNNNNNNNNNNNNNNNNNNNNNNNNNNNNNNNNNNNNNNNNNNNNUGAAUUUUUGAUUAAAAUGGUUUCAUUAGAGGUAAAAUUGAUCCUACUUUAUUUACUAUCUUUAAAGGUCAAGAUAUAUUAGUUGUUCAAAUAUAUGUAGAUGAUAUUAUAUUUGGAUCUACUAAUGAUUCUUUGUGUAAGUGGUUUUCAAAGUGCAUGCAUAGUGAGUUUGACAUGAGCAUGAUGGGAGAGCUCAAUUAUUUCUUGGGGCUCCAAAUUAAGCAAACUCCAGAAGGAAUUUAUGUGCAUCAAUCCAAGUAUAUCAAGAAUCUACUCAAAAGAUUUGGAUAUGAGAAUAUCAAGGCGAAAUCAACACCAAUGAGCGUUGUCAGCAAGCUGACAGCAGAUGAAAAUGGUAAAGAUGUUGAUAUUCGAAUGUAUAGAGGUAUGAUUGGUAGUUUACUUUAUCUUACAGCCUCUAGACCUGAUAUUAUGUAUAGUGUUUGUGUUUGUGCUAGAUUUCAAGCAAAACCAAAGGAUUCUCACUUACAAGCUGUUAAAAGAAUAUUUAAAUAUUUAAGUGGAACCAUUACUUUGGGCUUAUUCUAUCCUAUCACAAAUGCUUUUGAUCUUGUUGGGUAUAGUGAUGCAGAUUAUGCAGGUAGUCAAACUGAUAGAAAAAGUACAAGUGGUGUUUGUGCAUUUUUGGGUCAAAGCUUAGUUUCUUGGUUAAGCAAGAAGCAAACUUCAGUUGCUCUAUCUACGGCUGAGGGGGAGUAUUUAGCAGCUGGUAGCUGUUGCUCUCAAAUGCUAUGGAUGAGACAACAAUUGAAGGACUUUGGAAUCAAAUGCAAGCAAACUCCUAUCUUUUGUGACAACACAAGUACAAUCAACAUUUCAGAAAAUCCAGUCAAUCAUUCAAGGACAAAGCAUAUUGAUGUUCGACAUCAUUUUCUGAGAGACAAUGUUGCAAAGGGUGCUGUCAAAUUAAUAUUUGUGGCUACAGCAGAUCAGCUAGCUGACAUCUUCACAAAACCUUUACCUGAAGAACGAUAUGUUGUGCUGAGAAGGGAAUUGGGUAUGUGUGAUGUGCAGUCAGCAGGCUCUUAAGCAUGGUCCGGGUACUAUCAGCUUACUCCUAGCAUCUUACAUAAUUUUUAUUUAUUUUGCAUGCUGGUCAAUCUAAGUGUUUAUUUGAAAUCUGUGCUCUUAAAUGAUAUUGCCGUUGUACGUUUAGUAAUUUGAGAUUUUGUGUUGAAUUUUUGAUACGUGAUUAUGUGAUGAUCUAUGUAAUUGAUGAUAAGUUUAAAAUUCAAAUUAGUUGCAAGAGAUAUAUAUAGAUGUGAUAAGUGAUAAGUGAUAACUAGAUUUGUUUUUGGGAGAUUAACAUGAGUUAUUUUAGGAAUUUUACUUCGAUUAAUUUUAUUCCUAAAAAUCCUCCCCUGAUAAUUGUUAAAAGAGUGUUAAAAACUCUACUCACUCCACGCCUCUUCAACUACUUAUUCAACCCUCCCCGAGAAGCUAGGGUUUUCUCACACUAUCUCCGAAAAGGUUUUGUCAUCACCAUAGCAACAAUCGGCUUACGGCUCGCGAUGAGGAAGAAAACUAGAGCAAAUGUGAAGGCACAUACUCCUCAGCCAUCCUCUGUUUCUCAAAAGCGCAAGCUGAUUGAUGAGGAAGAUGAAGAGUUCGUGACUGUUGAGAGCGGUGAUGAGAUUUCUGGGGUAAAUCGAGAUGAGGUUGGAAUCGAGUCUACUCAGAAGAAACCCAAGUCCGAGAUGUUAGCUGUUCGCGGUCUCGCCGGCCGAAAGGUUCUCUUGGGUAAGCCCCUUUCUGGAAAAGCCUUUUAUAAUUGUGGGAUUGUCAAGUUGUUUGAGGAUCUAGGGCUUCAAUCUUUUCUGGUUGAUUUGCCUAAGUUGUGUUACCCUGCUUUAGUGCGAGAAUUUUAUGCAAAUCUUCAAUCUACUGGGUCUGAUCAAUAUGUGUCAUAUGUGUCUGAUGUCAAGAUAUGCUUAUCUUCCAUGUUUUUGGGUGCUAUUUUGCGAGUUCCACCAUCUACUGUGUCUAUUCACACCAAACGCGGUCCGAAAAAUAUUGAGGGUUUUUCUCAUCAGGAUCAGUUGAAGAUAAUCACUGGUCUUGAAAGUGUUUCUGAGGGUGUUUUUCCAUCUACUACACAGUUAGUACCACUAGCACAAGCCCUGUUCAAGCUGUCAAUUGAGAAUGUGAGUCCUAGGUUAGGUACUAGGUCCAAUUUGUCAUCACAGGAUAUUGUUGUUGUUUCCAUGAUUCUGGCUGGGAGAAAGUUUGAUUUGCCAGACUUGAUUCUGAAAAAUAUGAUUGAUUCUGUGGAAGGGAAGUCUUCUGGUGGUUUGCCUUAUGGGUUAUUGUUGACGAGAGUGUUUGAAUGGUUUGGGGUUUCGUUUGCUGAUGAGGAGAGUGUGACGGCCAAAGAAUUUCUUGAUGCCAAAUUCUUGGCUCAGUCAAAUCUCAAGUUGGAUAAAGAUGGUUUGUUGGUUGUUGAAGUACCUUCACCCCCAUCCCCUGCUCAAUCUGUGAAUGUUGUGGAUUUGGGAAUCUCUGCACAGGAGAUUCAUGAUUACAUGAAUGAACUUCGAUCAAAUCACAAGGAAGUGGUGGAUGGGCAGAAACAGCUGUCUGAGCAGAUGGCUGAGUUGGUUUCUCAGGUUGGUUUUUGGAAGGAUAUGAUGUUUGGUGCUCGCACGUCUACUGCGUCUGAAAAGUGCAGUUCUGGGAGCUUCGCUUACGAGCUCUGCAAAAGGAUGUAUGGCUCUGGAGGUUCAUCAGAUGUGAAGGCUACUUUCACUUCAGAGGAUGAUGCUACUGAUAGUCCACGGCAGAGAACAUGUAUGGAUGUGCUCAAGGAAGCUGCUGGCACAGACUCCAAGUAUGCUGCUGCAGGAAAAGAGAUGUUGGCUAGGAACGCGAUUGCGGCAGAACUUGCAAAGAAGUAUGGUCUGGAGAAGGACGCGCAGGACAAGGCUGGAACCUGAUUUUCUAACCUUUUUAAUGAUUAAGUACCAGGUGGUUUAUCCUGGUUAGGAUUAUUUGAAAUAUCUAUGCAAUUUGCUUAGAUUAAUUGUUUCUGUGUUAAAUUUUGCAUAUCUGUGAAUUAGAUAUAUCUGCUAGAUUUUAUUCUCUGUGAUAAUUGUGAAAGUUUAGUGAUAUUAGAUUGCUAUAUUUAGGGGGAGUUUAUUACUUUUCCUAAUAUAGUGUAAUCAUCAAAAAGGGGGAGAUUGAUACUCUCUAGGUUUUCAUGAUGACACUAACAGCAAGCUAAUAACAUGAAACUGAUAUGUGUUAGCAUGCUAUCAAAGGUUGUUUAUGCGGACUAACAGUAUUUCAGGAUGUUAGCAUGAUUAUAGCUGUCAGCAAGCUUACAGGGAUAUUUACAAGCUAUCAGCAGGCUUACAGCGUGAACAGAGAAACAAUCGGAUAAAGAUCAAAGUCUAUUUUCAAGGAGAUUUAAUAGGAAACGACUUUGUAAGGAUUCUAAUAUUUGUAUAUAUCUUAUAUAAAUAUUAGAGCUCAGUUUUAUAAAGAGUUUUCUUCAAAAACGUUUUCCUAACAAAUAGGAGAUUUUAUCUCAAAGAAUCUUAUCUUUAACAAACUCCUAUUUUGUUUCAAACGGGUUUUAUUUUAAAUACUUUACUGAGAUGAUUUCAAACGUGAUUUAUCCUUUACUCAGUAAUCUUACUUCAUUCAAACGUUCAUCAUUCAAUUCAAAUUUAAACGUGAGGUUGUUACCAAGAUCGUUGGGAAAUUUGUUGGAUUAUGACCGUUGGUAUGAUGUAUAUAAAUUUGUGUGUGCUUUCAUUUUCGGUAGAGAACAAGGAGAACACACCAAGCUUUCUGAAAUACAACUCUUUACAUUGCUAAAUCUUUUGUUGAGCUCUAGUACUUAUAUUUGCAUAUAUAUCUAUAUUGAGAGUUCAUAGUUUCGGUUGUAUUACACUUAUUCAUUGUAUUGUUCAAGGUGUAAUGUGUUGUUGCUGUGUAUCCAGCUUGUGAAACAAGGGAACAAGGGAACUAGUUAGCUAGGAGAAUAUACUUGGGAAGUAUAGGUCUUGGUAGGCUUUUGGUUCGUGGUUCAGGGGUUUCAGCAGGCUGAUAACAGGAACAAGGGAGAAAGGGAGUUAUAUUAUUGAAUCUUGUAAUCGUUGAUAUUAUUGAUUAAUAAUAUAAUCUCUUACCAGUUGGUAGGGGACCAGGACGUAGACCAUUAGGGUUAGGGGUCGAACCUGGCUAAAAUUCUUGGUGUUGCUAGCAUACUGCUUUACAUUAUCUGCAUUGCAUUUAUCUUAUUAGCAGGCUAACAGUUUACUCUGAAAAUUAACAGCAGGCUGUCUUUGACAGAUUAAUUAUUCGGUAACUUAUAAAAAUCGGGUAUAUUAGCCAUAACACCUAUUCACCCCCCCUCUAGGUGUGUAAUUUCAUGCUCGAUCCUAUUAUAAGCAAAAAGAUACUACUUUAGUAUCCUCCCGAAACAACUAUCCUAUUUCUACCCUUUCGCGAUAUAUAUAUACACGGCACAUUAUAUAGCACAUAACAAGUAGCACACAUUAUAGUUUUAUAACUUACAACCAACUCAGAAUAUUAUUUAACACGAGAACGCGUCUUAAGUUAAUAUUUCUACGGAAAAUUCGGCAUGACCUAUUCGUAAAUAGGACUAUCCCCCUGUUUUCAAAUCAAUCAAAUCAAGCUCUUUAAACUAUAUAAAAUACUAAUAUAAAGAAAAUCUGCCUCGACAUGUAGUAAAUCACAUAAGAAAAGUACCCACCCCGACAUGCGGCACCUAACACAUAAUGAUAAAUAAUCCGCCCAGACAUGCGGCACCUAAACACAUAAUGAUUGAAAGAAACUAACAGCUUAUCUUUAAAAUUGAAAGUAAUUCAAUAUUAAUACAUUAUACUAUCAAGAAUAACACUCUAACAUUUAACACGUAGCACUUAGCAGGUAUCACAUAUUUCCAUACAUUUACUUACCACUUACCAUAAUACUCAAUUUAGAUACUAUUCAAUUCAAAUAUAUACAAGUUGAAUUAAAUAAGCAUAGCGCUAUAACUAUUUAAGAUAUCGCAUAUUUAUAUUAUUAAUAUUAUUAUUUACUAUUAUUAUUACUAGUGAAAGUAAUAAUAAUACUAAAGAAUAAUACUAAUAUUUAUUAAUAUUCGACAUCUUAAAAUUACCAAGUAAACACAGUUUCACACAUUAACAUCAAUAAUAAUGCUAUGUAGUACUGCUAUUACUACCAAAUCACAUAAAUAUUAUUUAUAGAUUUUAUAGAAAUAUUACUAAUCAGUAACUAUAUAAAUUCGAUUAAUAGCCCGAUAAUUAUAAGAUAUGCUCCCGUAUAAUUUUAAAAAUCUAAAUUUUAUUUGAAAAUUGGGCAGCACCUCCUCUAUUUAUCGAACUACCAGUCGAUAUCAUAUCGACACAACAAAUCCCAAAAUAACCUGUAAUCAAUCUCCAAAUAAUCCCAAUUACAAAUACCAACCAAUCCAACAAAUACUCCAAACAAACUUGUAAUUAACUACGAACCACUUAAAUACAGUUACCAACUAAAUUAGGCAGAUUACUCGACUAAAUAUCAAACACAAAGGAUAAAGAAAAGAAUUUGGAAAUCAGAAAGCCACGGGAAUCAACAUCAAUACUAAACCAUUACUCACGAAAACACCCACCUGCACACACGCACGCGUACUGAGCACACACGCUGAUUCUACUCACAGACACCAGAAUACACACACACACACUCGAAUUAUAUACACACACUAUACUGAUAUAUACACACACAUCAGAUUAUACACACACCAAUCGCACGCAUAUACAUACGAUACCCAGCAGCCCCAAAACAGUAGAAAACGAGCAGGAAACAGGGAGAGACAGAGACUGGCGGUGCCGGAAUCGGCGCAAUGACGGCGACGAAAACGGAGGUGGAGAGAUCGGGGCGGAGUGGCGGCGACUGGAACGGUGGCUGGAGAGAGGGAGAUGCGCGAGGGAGAGAAAACCGACAGAGAGACCGAGGUUGAGUGGGAGAGAUGAAGGAGAGCGAGGGAGACCGGGAGAGAUUGAUAUUUUGAAUUAAAAAUAUAAUUAUAAACUGAAAAUGUAGCAAUUGGACACGUAUUAGGAAUUUUGACGCGUGUCCUCACAGAUCUGGAUGGCUCCAGACUGAAUUUGACAAAUUAACGAACAAACUCACAGAUAAAAUAAUCCCGAUAAAUACCAAAAUAACUUUAGAAAUCUUAAAAUAAUUAAAAACUAAUAAAAUACGAUUUUCACGAUUUUUGGAUCAUUUUUGAAAUAGAUAGAAAGACCCCACUUUAAUCUAUACGGAAAAUCAUUUAGAGCUGAAGAAUGAUCAAAAUAUCGUUUUAUGAAUUUUAUAAAUCUCUAAAAAUAUUUAAUGGAAUUAUAAAGCGAUAAAAAAGAUUUUAUAUGCAAUACACUAUUUUAUAUAAUUAAAUCAAUAUAAAAUCCGUAACAAAUGCAAAUC